rnacentral:rRNA from 1 species
GACAGAGGCCCCAAGCGUUAGGCGGAAUCACUGGGCUUAAAGCGUGUGUAGGCGGAUCGUUAAGUGUCUUGUGAAAUCCCACGGCUCACCCGUGGAACUGCUGGGCAUACUGGCGAUCUUGGGCCAACUAGGGGCAGUCGGAACAAGCGGUGGAGCGGUGAAAUGCGUAGAUAUCAUUUGGAACGCCAAUGGUGAAAACAGGUAGCUGGGAGUGUGCUGACGCUGAGACACGAAAGCGUGGGGAGCGAACAGG